ensembl:lncRNA
AAAAAAAAACCAAAAAAACAAAGCCAAAAUUGUUCUUCCUCGUAAAUAAAAUCAGUCAAAACAGUUAUCUAGAAUAUGAAGAGAAACAUGUUAGGUGCAUUUAAGCUAGUAUAAUGAAAUUUAUAAUUGAAUGGUAAGAAGAAAAACAAGAUCUUACUAGCAGAGGGUAUAAUUUUGGUUGAAUCCCGUAACAAACUGUCUGUAGAAAAACAAUACUAACAGGGAUACAACUGAGAGUAGGACGGAGAAGCACACAAGACCAGAAAUGCUUGAAUUAAGAAGAACUGAACAUCGUUAGAUAAUAAUGGGAUCUCCAGCAUUUUUCAUGUGCAGACUGAUGGCUAACAGCUCUUCAUGGUAUUUACAGGAAAAAUGCAUAGUGCUAAAUAAUCGCCACAUGCCGUGGGAGUAAGUUCUGUUUUUAAUAAAACCAAUCUGGUCUGGAUCA